rnacentral:rRNA from 1 species
GCUGUACAUGGCGCAGCUGAUCAGCCUGCCGCGUGAGUGAGAAGGCCUUCGGGUUGUAAAGCUCUUUUGUCCGGGAAGAAAAGGUCGGGGCUAAUACCCUGCGCCCCUGACGGUUCCUGGCCAAUAAGCACCGGCUAACUCCGUGCCCCCCGCCGCAAUAAUAA